CGGUUGGUGAGGUACGAGCGGUGGACCACGCAACAACCGACCACUUGAUGAAUUCGGAUCCUCCGGAAUUGUAGUUCAGUAAAGCGGCUCAUUUGAAAAUAAACUCGUUGGCAGAAGAAGAUGCGGGAAAAAAAUUCAGAUUGAGGGUUGGUCGCUGGUCAGUUUGCCAAUUUAAUCGAGUUCCAGUUCUUGUUCUAUUCCCC
rnacentral:lncRNA from 1 species